UUCGUACUCCCUCCGUCCCAUAUUAAGUGAAUUUCUAUUACAUGUAUCUAGACGCUUUUUAGGCAUAGAUACAUCCAUGUUUGGGUAAAUUUGAGUCACUUAAUAUGGGACGGAGAGAGUAGUUU
rfam:Brachypodium distachyon strain Bd21 chromosome 1, whole genome shotgun sequence.